rnacentral:rRNA from 1 species
UACGUAGGGUGCAAGCGUUGUCCGGAAUCAUUGGGCGUAAAGCGCGCGUAGGUGGCUUCGUCAGUCCGUUGUGAAAGUCAAAGGCUCAACCUUUGAAUGCCGAUGGAUACAUGCGAAGCUAGAGUACGGAAGAGGGCGAGUUGGAAUUCCUGGUGUAGCGGUGGAAUGCGCAGAUAUCAGGAGGAACACCAAUAGCGAAGGCAGCUCGCUGGGACGUUACUGACACUAAGGCGCGAAAGCGUGGGGAGCCGAACGAGG